GGAGUACGACCGCAAGGUUGAAACUCAAAGGAAUUGACGGGGGCCCGCACAAGCGGUGGAGCAUGUGGUUUAAUUCGAAGCAACGCGAAGAACCUUACCAGGUCUUGACAUCCUUUGACCACUCUGGAGACAGAGCUUUCCCUUCGGGGACAAAGUGACAGGUGGUGCAUGGUUGUCGUCAGCUCGUGUCGUGAGAUGUUGGGUUAAGUCCCGCAACGAGCGCAACCCUUGAUUUUAGUUGCCAGCAUUUAGUUGGGCACUCUAAAGUGACUGCCGGUGCAAGCCGGAGGAAGGUGGGGAUGACGUCAAAUCAUCAUGCCCCUUAUGACCUGGGCUACACACGUGCUACAAUGGAUAGUACAAAGGGUCGCGAAGCCGCGAGGUGGAGCUAAUCCCAUAAAACUAUUCUCAGUUCGGAUUGUAGGCUGCAACUCGCCUACAUGAAGCCGGAAUCGCUAGUAAUCGUGGAUCAGCAUGCCACGGUGAAUACGUUCCCGGGCCUUGUACACACCGCCCGUCACACCACGAGAGUUUGUAACACCCGAAGUCGGUAGGGUAACCUUUAUGGAGCCAGCCGCCGAAGGUGGGACAGAUAAUUGGGGUGAAGUCGUAACAAGGUAGCCGUAUCGGAAGGUGCGGCUGGAUCACCUCCUUUCUAAGGAA
rnacentral:rRNA from 1 species